CCUGCCCCUAGGAGCAUUGCAGGUAUGGCUGCUAUGUCAUAUGUGCAUCAGUAGGUGGCAGAGAAGAAAGAGGCUAUGUCUAUGCUCAGUGUUCUGACCUGUGAACAUCAGAAUGAUUAGUAACCUAACACU